rnacentral:tRNA from 1 species
GCUCGCGUGGUGUAGCUAGGCCCAUCAUGGUGGGUUUUCAUCCCGCUGACUCGGGUUCGAAUCCCGACGCGAGCACCA